GCGCGGCAACGUGUGCAGCUGACGAAUACUAAUCGGUCGAGGGCUUAACCAA
rnacentral:rRNA from 1 species